rfam:Schistosoma haematobium scaffold66_44, whole genome shotgun sequence.
GCACUGCUGAGGAGUUCCACAAUAGGACGAAACGGCCGCCCAGUGC